GGGAGUUGUAGUUGAGAGGAAGCCGGCUGAGCGCCAGAACGGUCAAGCAGCUACGGUUAGCGUUUGCCAACGGCCACCGCGGGCUGUAGACCGCCGACAGAGCAAGCAGCCCCCUCGCCCUUCGGACCAUGAGGAUUUCCUGGCCUACGAACAAGGAGUUCACCUCCCAUCGGGGACCUUCGGAAAGAGCCGUGAGUGACUUCACACAGGCACCAAACUAGGCACUCCCUUCCGGAGAGCAGAGCUUCAUGUAGACCAGGAGGGAGGACAGCGACCCAACAGCCAGACACAGGUGAGGCUCCAGGCAGAGCGGAUGUUGCGAAGAUAUUUGUGGAACGGAUGAACAAAUGAAUGAGUCAGCCACAGCAGCAGCCCCGGGGUGUGCGGGCAGGAGUCACAGUGCGGAGGACAGCAGAGCACAUGCAGAUGCCCGGCCAGGAUGCCUCGAAAGGCGAAGGCAAGGAACUGACGCAGAAUUGACUGAGGGAAGGAGGAGGAGCAAGAUGGCAACUUGGAAGCUCUCUGGAAAGGAAACUUCCAGAGAUGCAGAGCCUGACUCUUGCCUUCUACACAGUGUCAGGCACCUUUGCCAGUGGUCUCCAAGCGCAGGACUGCCUGUCCCCUGGCACGCUGUCCCCAAGGAGUCUGCAUUGCUCAUGGCUAGAGUGUCUGCCCUGCAUGCCUGCUACUAAGAG